CCUACGGGAGGCAGCAGUGGGGAAUUUUGGACAAUGGGCGAAAGCCUGAUCCAGCCAUUCCGCGUGAGUGAAGAAGGCCUUCGGGUUGUAAAGCCCUUUCGCAAGGAAAGAAAACUUAUCUCCUAAUACGGGAUGAGGAUGACGGUACCUUGAUAAGAAGCACCGGCUAACUACGUGCCAGCAGCCGCGGUAAUACGUAGGGUGCGAGCGUUAAUCGGAAUUACUGGGCGUAAAGCGUGCGCAGGCUGUUUUGUAAGUCAGAUGUGAAAUCCCUGGGCUCAACCUAGGAACUGCGUUUGAAACUACAAGGCUAGAGUGUAGCAGAGGGGGGUAGAAUUCCACGUGUAGCAGUGAAAUGCGUAGAGAUGUGGAGGAAUACCAAUGGCGAAGGCAGCCCCCUGGGUUAACACUGACGCUCAUGCACGAAAGCGUGGGGAGCAAACAGGAUUAGAUACCCUGGUAGUCCACGCCCUAAACGAUGUCUACUAGUUGUUGGGAGAGUAAAAUCUCUUAGUAACGCAGCUAACGCGUGAAGUAGACCGCCUGGGGAGUACGGUCGCAAGAUUAAAACGUCAAAGGAAUUGACGG
rnacentral:rRNA from 1 species